UAGGGAAUCUUCGGCAAUGGGGGCAACCCUGACCGAGCAACGCCGCGUGAGUGAAGAAGGUUUUCGGAUCGUAAAGCUCUGUUGUAAGUCAAGAACGAGUGUGAGAGUGGAAAGUUCACACUGUGACGGUAGCUUACCAGAAAGGGACGGCUAACUACGUGCCAGCAGCCGCGGUAAUACGUAGGUCCCGAGCGUUGUCCGGAUUUAUUGGGCGUAAAGCGAGCGCAGGCGGUUAGAUAAGUCUGAAGUUAAAGGCUGUGGCUUAACCAUAGUACGCUUUGGAAACUGUUUAACUUGAGUGCAAGAGGGGAGAGUGGAAUUCCAUGUGUAGCGGUGAAAUGCGUAGAUAUAUGGAGGAACACCGGUGGCGAAAGCGGCUCUCUGGCUUGUAACUGACGCUGAGGCUCGAAAGCGUGGGGAGCAAACAGGAUUAGAUACCCUGGUAGUCCACGCCGUAAACGAUGAGUGCUAGGUGUUAGACCCUUUCCGGGGUUUAGUGCCGUAGCUAACGCAUUAAGCACUCCGCCUGGGGAGUACGACCGCAAGGUUG
rnacentral:rRNA from 1 species